GCCCGCGUCCAACGCCCAGGCUCAGCGGCCGCUCCGCCCGGGAGUCGAACCAGCGCCCCAGCGUGGACCCUGAGAGCCGUCGGAAAGGCGUUAGCGCCCAGGGGGUCACAACCCAGCUUGCUGGAAGGAAACUUGGGGACAUCUGUAAGGAGAGGAAUAGGAAAGACCCGAGAAGAAGCAGUAAAGGAGGUAGAAGCAACUCGCGCUGUUUUGGAGGAGAGUUUCUAGAAGGGUGUGUUAAAUUCAGCAGAGUAUUGAGAAAGAUCAAGACCAAAAAUUGCAGUUAGAUUUAGGAAGGAGGAGGUAACGGAACUUCAAAAGCAAAAUUUCGGGGAGCUAGAAAGGGAAAAUGGAGUCAGGAGGAGUCUUGUCGAAAAACUGGAAGAUGUGAAGGCUCUUACCCUGAGAGAAAAAGGAAGGCACUGGAGGAUUUUGAACAGAGAAGUGAUGUGAUCUAAGGUUUAAAAGAAUAGGUCUGACUGCUGCAUUGUGAAGAGACUGUAUGUGGGGCAAGAGAGGAAGCCAGGAGACCAUAGGAGGUGAGAAAAAGGGCGUUGCGGAUCCUUUGGAGCCAAGGACUGGAACUGCCAUGCAAGACCUCUGCCAACUGAGGGUUUCAUGAGCGCACUCCCUUGCCAAGAUCUUGGUGAAUAGUCUUUCACUGUGCAAUUGUGUCUUAGACAUUGUUUUACUUGUUAUCAUGAUUGUGCUUGGCUGGAUGCUUUUUGUUGGACUUGCAUGUUACAUGGGCACGUUUCCAGAGUUCAUGCCUCCAACUCUGAAGUGGAAAGAGAAGUGGCCUGUUCAGGAGAGCAAGACACGACUGAGGAGCCUGGCUUUGGAUGAAGAACCACAACUAUGAGAACCAUGUGGAAAGGAUAUAAGUAUCCCCCAGGAGGGACCCCGGUGGAAAUAAGCAAAGAUGAUCCUGGUGAAGUCAUGCAGCUCUGAAGCUCACCUGGCCUGCUGUAGAGUUCCUGUUGUUGGUUUCGCAUAAAGUAAUUGCACAUUA